UAUUUUAAUAGCUUAUAUUUAAAGUUUAAUAUUGAAGAUAUUAAGAGGACAUUUGUCUUAAAAUAUU
rnacentral:tRNA from 3 species